rnacentral:rRNA from 1 species
UGGGGAAUAUUGCACAAUGGGCGCAAGCCUGAUGCAGCCAUGCCGCGUGUAUGAAGAAGGCCUUCGGGUUGUAAAGUACUUUCAGCGGGGAGGAAGGUGUUGAGGCUAAUAACCUCAGCAAUUGACGUUACCCGCAGAAGAAGCACCGGCUAACUCCGUGCCAGCAGCCGCGGUAAUACGGAGGGUGCAAGCGUUAAUCGGAAUUACUGGGCGUAAAGCGCACGCAGGCGGUCUGUCAAGUCGGAUGUGAAAUCCCCGGGCUCAACCUGGGAACUGCAUUCGAAACUGGCAGGCUAGAGUCUUGUAGAGGGGGGUAGAAUUCCAGGUGUAGCGGUGAAAUGCGUAGAGAUCUGGAGGAAUACCGGUGGCGAAGGCGGCCCCCUGGACAAAGACUGACGCUCAGGUGCGAAAGCGUGGGGGGCAAACA